UACGUAGGGGGCAAGCGUUGUCCGGAUUUAUUGGGCGUAAAGAGCGUGUAGGCGGCCACACAGGUCCGCUGUGAAAACUCGAGGCUCAACCUCGAGCUGUCGGUGGAAACCGUGCGGCUAGAGUCCGGAAGAGGAGAGUGGAAUUCCCGGUGUAGCGGUGAAAUGCGCAGAUAUCGGGAAGAACACCCGUGGCGAAGGCGGCUCUCUGGGACGGUACUGACGCUGAGACGCGAAAGCGUGGGGAGCGAACAGG
rnacentral:rRNA from 1 species